rfam:Gorilla gorilla gorilla genomic chromosome, chr7, whole genome shotgun sequence
UAUUAGGUUGCUGCAAAAGGAAUUGCGGUUUUUGCCAUUGAAAAUAAUGGCAAAAACCGCAAUUCCUUUUGCACCAACCCAAUA